rnacentral:rRNA from 1 species
ACGCUCGACACCUACGGGAUGCAGCAGUGGGGAAUAUUGCACAAUGGGGGAAACCCUGAUGCAGCGACGCCGCGUGGAGGAAGAAGGUCUUCGGAUUGUAAACUCCUGUUGUUGGGGAAAAAGAGGAUGGUACCCAACAAGGAAGUGACGGCUAACUACGUGCCAGCAGCCGUGGUAAUCUGAGCGGGCUGGCAAGGC